AGAGUUUGAUCCUGGCUCAGGAUGAACGCUGGCGGCGUGCCUAACACAUGCAAGUCGAACGUGAAGCCUAUAAUGAUUACUUCGGUUUGAUUUACGGGUGGAAAGUGGCGAACGGGUGAGUAACACGUAGGUAACCUGCCUCAAAGUGGGGGACAACCAUUGGAAACGAUGGCUAAUACCGCAUAAGUCUGAGAUGAUGUGAGUUAUCUCGGGUAAAGCUCUGGCGCUUUGAGAGGGGCCUGCGUCCGAUUAGCUAGUUGGUGGGGUAACGGCCCACCAAGGCGACGAUCGGUAGCUGGUCUGAGAGGACGAUCAGUCACACGGGAACUGAGACACGGUCCCGACUCCUACGGGGGGCAGCAGUGAGGAAUAUUGCACAAUGGGGGCAACCCUGAUGCAGCAACGCCGCGUGGAGGAUGAAGGCUCUUGGGUCGUAAACUCCUUUUAUGGGGGAAGAGCAAGGACGGUACCCCACGAAUAAGUCACGGCUAACUACGUGCCAGCAGCCGCGGUAAUACGUAGGUGGCAAGCGUUAUCCGGAAUUACUGGGCGUAAAGGGCACGCAGGCGGUUGGUCAAGUCUGAUGUGAAAGCUCCUGGCUUAACUGGGAGAGGUCGUUGGAAACUGAUCAACUUGAGGUAGUGAGAGGGGUGCGGAAUUCCCGGUGUAGUGGUGGAAUGCGUAGAUAUCGGGAGGAACACCAGUGGCGAAAGCGGCACCCUGGCAUUUACCUGACGCUCAUGUGCGAAAGCGUGGGGAGCAAACGGGAUUAGAUACCCCGGUAGUCCACACUGUAAACGAUGAACACUAGGUGUGGGUAGUAUAAAACCUAUUCGUGCCGAAGCAAACGCGAUAAGUGUUCCGCCUGGGGAGUACGGCCGCAAGGCUAAAACUCAAAGGAAUUGACGGGGGCCCGCACAAGCAGCGGAGCGUGUGGUUUAAUUCGAUUCAACGCGAAGAACCUUACCUGGGUUUGACAUGUACGUAGUAGUGAAGCGAAAGCGGAACGACCUUCGGGAGCGUACACAGGUGCUGCAUGGCUGUCGUCAGCUCGUGUCGUGAGAUGUUGGGUUAAGUCCCGCAACGAGCGCAACCCUCGUCGUUAGUUACAAGUGUCUAGCGAGACUGCCGACGUCAAGUCGGAGGAAGGUGGGGAUGAUGUCAAGUCAGCAUGGCCUUUAUGUCCAGGGCUACACACACGCUACAAUGGGCAGUACAAU
rnacentral:rRNA from 1 species